UGAAGAGAGAAGAAAGAAAAAGAUAUUAAAUCCUCACUACACUUUUGUGGGCCUGCCUUCCUUUUCACAAAAAAGUCCUUUCUUCACAGUGAGAUGUUUAAAGAACUCUUUCAAAAAUUCCAGAUGGUCCUAAGCCGAGAUUCUUCCAUCCAUUUAGAGACAUAGAAGGCUUCCUGAUGCUCCAGAAUGAAAUCCAUCAUGCUCCAAAGGAAUUCCACACAUGGUCUCAUAGCUCCUUAACUGGGAACUGAAGAAACAUUACUGUGGUAAAAGAAUCUUCUCCUGGUCUCAUGUGAUGUGACUAUGCAUCCCAUGGGAGCUGCACUGCAAACUACUGUCCCCAUAGCAUAAAUGAUACUAAAUUCACGUUUAAGAAUGAAAUGAAGGCUCAAAUACCAAUGUUCAAAAGUGCCCCGAAUAACAAUGCAUUUCACUUUUUCCCAUUGCUUUUCUUACGAGAUCUCAGCUAUAGACAAAUAUUUAACAGUACUUUUGGUUUCUUUGCAUUUCCUUGCAUUAAAGAUAUUUUUGCACCUAACAAGAACCAUUGAUCUAUUUUAGCAAUUAAACAAGAAACAGUGACAUAUUCAUAGGAAAGAAAAAGCAUGAGAAUCAUUCUUGAAUUACUAGAUAUCCCUGGGAAACUUUCAAAUCCUAAGUGAAAGGAAAGAGAAAAGAAGAGUGAUGCCCGGAUUGAAAAAUGGACUUCCCUUUAAAAUUAUCUGGAGGAUAAAAGCUAAUAAAUUGGCUGACAAGUAAAUGUAGGUAAAAAUUCAAGUUUCAUACCAUUCUGAAGAGUGCUAUUACAAUUUAAGUAUAAAUUUGGAAAAUGAUUUUUUUAAAGACAUACUGCAAAGAUCAGAUACAGACGAAUAUAGUCAGAAUUUUAGAUAAAUUACAUAUAUCUAACCUACAGAUAAAGAUGAUCACGUCUUUAUCUCUCAGAUAUAACAAAUAAUCUUCAUGUACUUUUUUUUUUUUUUCCCCUCUGAGUCACUAGAUGGGCCAUCAUGAAAACGGUAUCUUCCAUCCCUUUCUACCCAAGCAAACAACCUCCUUUCAAGAUGAAUUCUCCAGAAAGCAGAUAACUGAAUUACCUGAGUGCUGAUCCACUUCAAAGGGUCUCUUUAUAGGAGGCAUAAUCAGAUUCUGAUGCUUUGAUCAAGUGAAUCUAUGAACCUGCUUACCCGAUCACAAACUCCUCUAUUUGCCAUGAAGAGAUAAGUCAUCAAUUACAGAACUCACACCUGCUCUGAGUAACAUUAUUGAUGGCUUGAGAGAAGGAAUGCAUAAUUUAAAUGCCUUGGGAAAGCUGGCAGCGGCUUGAGGAUAAAGGAAUUCAAAUGAGACAGAGGGUGGCCAGCCUAGAGUGGUCAGUCACAAGCCAACUUUAUCCAUUGCAAGCAGAAAAAGAGCUGGCCAGACAGAUGUGAAGGCAGCACAAUCUCCUCCCAUUUUGGCCUUGAAUCAUAAGCAUUCACAGAAGACAGAAAAAUAAGUUUUGUCUGAAGCCUGGCCCAAGUUUUGCUGAAUCACUUAGAUUCCUGCAGGUUACUUUUUUGAGCAUCUUACAGCAUCUUCGGAUCAGCCAACAAAGAAAUUUCUUUUGGACACAGCAUGUGGUCAAAUGAAGAUUCUGUUCAAAGUGACAUGAAAUCAGAAAUAUUGGCUAUAUAACAGUAACCCAGAUAUUGAGUGGAAUGAAGAACAAACCUUCUGAGAACACCCAUGGAGAAGUUGCUCAUCUUUGUGGAUUCCUCUUUUUCUGACAUUAUUGGCAUUUUAGAAUCCUUGCUACUACCAGGGUCUUUUGAUCCCUUCACUGUGGUGCCACAAGAUUUGCCCUCUGUAUGUUGUGAGAACUUAAAAAGGAUUGUUUAAGGAGGGCAGCUUCUGUGUAAUUGUACAUCAGCCAUAUUUAGAAUGAUUAUGGCUUUUGUGACAUUGGAAUAAUGUAUUAUUAGCAGUAUUUUAAGGUUUCUAGGCUGGGAAAAUUGCAGUUCCUCCCUGAAUGGCAACAACAGCUGAAGCUGUAGUGAAGAUGAGGAAAAAGGUGGAUUUCACUACCACAUAACUAUUUAUUACGGGAUUCAUGCACUGGUUAAACGCUCACUCCCUCUGUGCUACAUCUUUUGUCACUGUACCAAUACAGACUCCAAGCCUGUCCUCUUCUCAGGACUCAGCAACAGGAACAUUUUACAAGGGGCAACACAAAUGCCAGCCAGGAAAUAAUAAUAAUCCCAUCAAUACAAUAAAUCCAAUUAAUUUACUAAGUACUAUGUAUUGAUUAUCAUCAGACGUAAAAUCCACAAUUCUUUUUGACACUUGCUACAUGUGUUACCCUGGUAACAUACAACUAUAUGUGUUCUAAAUGUUAUCUGGGCAAUUUCCAUGCACAGCAAUAAACAAGGUAAUUCAAAUUCUGCACAACUGUAAAAUACUACAUACACAGACAAUUUUACUUCAUGUUCUCAAUAGUUGUUUGUUAAAAGAAGUUUUAAAUUUCUUUGUAUUACUAUAAAUAUUAUUCUUCUCUUUCCAGACUUAGGUAUUCUUUGGUAGUUAUUUGCCCUAAUAGUAGAAUAGGAAGGAAUCAGAAGUCAAAAAACAUCAGUAUCAAGUUUGUCCCUAUUCUCUUGAGUGUCAUUUAAAGAGGAACAUUUGAUCAGUACCAAACUUCUAAAGGGAAUACCAUUUCAAUGUUAAGACUAAUGAGACUAGUUUAAUCUCAUCCCUAUAAACAAAUCAGCUUAGGCCUAAUGAAAUCUUAUUUUUGUAAAUUAAGGCA